CACCGCCUCGGGGGGCAGCAGGGAAUCUUCCACAAUGGGCGAAAGCCUGAUGGAGCAACGCCGCGUGGGUGAAGAAGGUCUUCGGAUCGUAAAACCCUGUUGUUAGAGAAGAAAGUGCGUGAGAGUAACUGUUCACGUUUCGACGGUAUCUAACCAGAAAGCCACGGCUAACUACGUGCCAGCAGCCGCGGUAAUACGUAGGUGGCAAGCGUUAUCCGGAUUUAUUGGGCGUAAAGGGAACGCAGGCGGUCUUUUAAGUCUGAUGUGAAAGCCUUCGGCUUAACCGGAGUAGUGCAUUGGAAACU
rnacentral:rRNA from 1 species